GAUUUCUCUGAGCUUUCUGUCCAGGGCCAUCCAGAUGGAUUAGAAUGAGGGUGAUACAAUCAUCUGUGGCACCCUGUGCAUCUGAAGUCUAGCAGUUAAAAAAGGCAAAUGGAUGAGAUCCUGGAGUUCUCUGUCAGCUGCCUAUCACAG